AUCUGGCUGACGAGUCCCAAACAGGACGAAGUACACAUGCUGGAU
rnacentral:hammerhead_ribozyme from 1 species